rnacentral:rRNA from 1 species
UGGCACUGAUGCUUAUUGCACCACAUGUGUUUUUCUUUGAAACAAACUUGCUUUGGCGGUGGGCCCAGCCUGCCGCCAGAGGUCUAAACUUACAACCAAUUUUUUAUUAACUUGUCACACCAGAUUAUUACUUAAUAGUCAAAACUUUCAACAACGGAUCUCUUGGUUCUCGCAUCGAUGAAGAACGCAGCGAAAUGCGAUACGUAAUAUGAAUUGCAGAUAUUCGUGAAUCAUCGAAUCUUUGAACGCACAUUGCGCCCUCUGGUAUUCCGGAGGGCAUGCCUGUUUGAGCGUCGUUUCUCCCUCAAACCGCUGGGUUUGGUGUUGAGCAAUACGACUUGGGUUUGCUUGAAAGACGGUAGUGGUAAGGCGGGAUCGCUUUGACAAUGGCUUAGGUCUAACCAAAAACAUUGCUUGCGGCGGUAACGUCCACCACGUAUAUCUUCAAACUUUGACCUCAAAUCAGGUAGGACUACCCGCUGAACUUAAGCAUAUCAAAAACCGGAGGAA